AUUGAACGCUGGCGGCAGGCCUAACACAUGCAAGUCGAGCGGAUGAAGGGAGCUUGCUCCUGGAUUCAGCGGCGGACGGGUGAGUAAUGCCUAGGAAUCUGCCUGGUAGUGGGGGAUAACGUCCGGAAACGGGCGCUAAUACCGCAUACGUCCUGAGGGAGAAAGUGGGGGAUCUUCGGACCUCACGCUAUCAGAUGAGCCUAGGUCGGAUUAGCUAGUUGGUGGGGUAAAGGCCUCCCAAGGCGACGAUCCGUAACUGGUCUGAGAGGAUGAUCAGUCACACUGGAGCUGGGACACGGUCCAGACUCCUACGGGAGGCAGCAGUGGGGAAUAUUGGACAAUGGGCGAAAGCCUGAUCCAGCCCUGCCGCGUGUGUGAAGAAGGUCUUCGGAUUGUAAAGCACUUUAAGUUGGGAGGAAGGGCAGUAAGUUAAUACCUUGCUGUUUUGACGUUACCAACAGAAUAAGCACCGGCUAACUUCGUG
rnacentral:rRNA from 1 species